rnacentral:rRNA from 1 species
CACCAGGUCAGGACACGGUAAGGAUUGACGGACUGAAGGCUCUUUCUCGAUUCCGUGGAAAGUGGUGCAUGGCCGUUUUUGGUUGGUGGAUCGAUCCGUCUGGUUAAUUCCGUUAACGAACGAGACCUCGGCACUCCGAAUAGCGCGGCGGACGUCGCGGCCUCCGGGCCGUCUUCCGCACGAGCUUCUUAGAGGGACCGUCCCCCGCCGGGGAAGGAGGUGCGAGGCAACGACAGGUCUGUGAUGCCCUUAGAUGUUCUGGGCCGCACGCGCAUUACACUGACGCGUCCAACGGGUGACUCCCGACCCGAAGGGGCCGGGGAAUCCGCAAGGCGCGUCGUGAUGGGGAUUGAACGUUGCAAUUGUUGUUCACGAACGAGGAAUUCCUAGUAGGCGCGGGUCAUCAACCCGCGCCGAUUACGUCCCUG